UCCUGGUCUGACACUGUGAUUGCCAUGGCGAGGCAUGAUCAUGUGGCAGCCUUAGAUGUCUGAAGAUCACUCCUCUUCCCUUGGGUCCCAGCCACCAAGGAGAACCCCCAGCUGGAAACAGUGCUCCAAAUAUGCUUGGAAACGGUGCUCCAGAUGUGCUCCUGCAAACGCUGAAAAGAAAGGAGGAAUCACUUYCCUCAACCUGCUCAAGGAAAGUCUACACCGUGUCACUGAGAACCCAGUGACUACAGAUGUAUUCACCAUCACAUUGGUUCAGUGUGUGUAGUGUACAUUAGAAGUAAAGACUGUAAAAGUUUUGUCUCCUAACUCCAUAUUUUCAAGUGACUUUCCAAAUACGUUCGAAUUCCCAGCACUGAAUAYGACUGAAAUUUUAAUUUAUGCUAGGAAGUGUUUGGAGGUAUUAUUUGCCAUUCAUUUUUCUUUUCUUGUCAGAGGCAAUAGAACAAUUACAGAGAGGACAUUUCAUAACUGUCUGAUCUGAUUUUGGUUUACAUGCUAAUCCCGGCCUCCUCUUUCAGACAUUAACUUUGGGCUUUCCUGCACUAUCAGACAUCCGCUGGCAUAGCCAAAGAGCUGUGUGUCCUCAGAACACACUGCUACACUCAAGUGUUUUAGUAUUAUUGUAUAUGCUAGGCACAUUGGCAAUGGUGGUUAUGCUGAAUUUCCAUGGGAUUGUGGCAAUACUGAAAUUAUAAGAGCUUGUUAUUUUUUUAAAAAAUAGUUUAAUUUACAGACAAAUAUUAAUAAAAUCAUUAAAUUUGGCAUUUAAGCUCUACUAGCUGUGGAAGUCUCUAGAGCAAUUUCAGUUUCAGGAGCAGCAAGAAAAUUACUUUUAAUAUCUGCGGGGCUAACUAUAGCCCUAUGAUAAAUUAUAAACUAGAUCAUAGGCUUCUAAUAUUUUAAUAUCUGGACAGUGACCCAGAACAACCUCCUUCUGCGUCCAUAAAAGUGAUUCAUUUUCAUGGCUCAUUCAUCCAUAGAAAUAUCUUCAGCUGAGAUGACUGGUAGCGGUGCAUGA